rnacentral:lncRNA from 1 species
CCACUGAGAGUGCCAUGAGGAGCGCCACACCUCAUCCGCCCUCGACAUGGAGCGACGCGUCCUGCUGGUGAUCCUACUGGUGUGUGCCUGCCUGCUGGCCUCUGCCGUGGCCUUUCCUCUGCCUGAACCGCUGUCUGGAAACAGAUUCCGUCCUCGUGAAGCCAACAGAUGCCUUUGCUAUACUUUCCCGUGUAACUGUGGAUGGGGCCGCACACCUCUUCGGUAAUGAGGAAAACGCCUGACCUCUGGAGCCUCUACAUGACCUGACCUGAACUCACCUGUUCUGAACCAACAAGCCUCAGGAUGAAAAAUAAAACAAAAUAGAGACUCUUCCUUCUCACUUCUCACUUGCAUUCACGCCUAAUAAAGCCUGCAAUAUCUGUUCAUGCUUGAUAUUAGUUUGGUGUUCCUUUGCCUCGCUGCACGCUGGCUGUCUGGUGGAGGCACAAGAAAGGCUUGCAAGCGUCAUUUAGAAAAGUUAACCUUACAUCUGACACACUUCUGUUCUUACAAUAAGCAAAUCGCAUCGAAUCACUAAGACUUUCCAAUCUUUUCACAUAAACAACAUUUGCGUUAGAUGUGAGAGCAAUUCAUUAAAAUGUUUUGGAAAUGCAAUUUUGGCAACGCGUUUGAUAUGGGAAAGUAUCCAUAGGUGAGACACUGCAUCCCCUGGCUGAUGGAGUCCCGGAACAGCCGCUUCCGCUCCGACGCCCAGUGGCUUUCCCACACGCAUUGACAUAGGCAGGAGUGUCCGUGUCGCCUGGUGCACUUGUUGGCAGUACAGUAGUGUGUUUCCCGCAAUGGUGACAAAAAAGGGAAGGAAUGGCCGAGUUAAGAUGGCUAUUUACCUCGCCGCGGCAGGUGCACCAUAGUGAGGGGAAGGCCAGAGGGAACAUAACAUGGCCUGGUGGGGAAGCCCUCGCCAGGUGUCCACAACCCGGCAGCACCUGGCACUCUGUUCCGCCGGGUAUAUGAGGAGGCAAGCCCCAACCAGUGCCACACUUCGACAUGGAGCGACGCACCCUGCUGAUUGUCCUGCUAGUGUGCAGCUUCCUGCUGCUUGGUGUCACCGCCGAGGCCUCGCCUUGGGGUAGUCGCCGCUUCGUGAGACCGCCGUUUGGGGGCAGACCACCAUUUGGCGGAUCAGGCUGUGUGUGUGUCACGACACCAUGUAAAUGUCCCUACUACGGCUAACCCGGCCAGCGAACACGGAAUCUGACAGUGCUCGCUCGUGGCCACACGACACUCGCCAUGGAUGGAAAGCGCCGACUCUUGAUUCUUUGGAUGAAUUAAAAUUUAGUUUUGCACUUAGUGGUAAAUAAAGUAUUAGCAAUC